rnacentral:rRNA from 1 species
GCUUUAAUUAACCGACCCAAAGAGACCAUAUGAACCAACCGACAGGAACAACAAACCUCUAUAUGGGCCGGCAAUUUAGGUUGGGGUGACCUCGGAGAAUAAAACAACCUCCGAGUGAUUUAAAUCUAGACUAACCAGUCGAAAGUACUACAUCACUUAUUGAUCCAAAAACCUUGAUCAACGGAACAAGUUACC